rnacentral:lncRNA from 1 species
GAAGCCUAGGGGAGCCAGUAAAGAUUAAAUGUGCUUCUCAAAGGCAGCCACUUCAUGCUGCUAUGUCGAAAGGGCCAUUAUUAUUAUUAUUAUAUUUUAAUAGUAAAAGAGAAAAGGAGAGAGGUUGAGCGAGCGAGAGAGAAGCUAGGUGUGAUGAUGACAGACUAGCUUUUCUGAGAGGAAAAGGAAAAGGGAAGGGAGAGAAAAAGGAGAGCCUCUGAGCUCAACGGAGGAUUGUGCCUGAGAAGAACCUACAGAGAUGUGACUGGAGUGAUUUGCACCCGGAUGCCUAGACCCGCCAUCUGCUCAAAGACUGCUCAGAAAGCCCUCCCAUGCAUUCCCCCCGCUGCAUAUCAGCCCACUCUGCCUGCAGCUGCUGUCUGCAGGACUUCAUAUCUAUGCCACACUGUUUAAAAGCUGUGCUUCAAGAAAUCACAAAAACAUUUUCCUGCACCUACUACACAGCCUGAGUGCAGCAUAAGUUGACCUUGCUUGCUAAGAAAUGGGGCAAGAAAUGCUUUUUUGUGUGUGUCACGUCUGUUUGUUUUUCAAGUAAGAGAGGAAAGCAUUAGGCAGAUGGAAUGUACAUGUGAGGAUGAGGAGACAGAAAACAAGUAGCCCUUUCCAUCAAGAUAGAGGGUUUUCUGGGAUCGCUGGCUCUUGAAUGUCACUCCUGAUUUCUCUUUCCAAGGCACUGUACCACCAGCCUACUGAGAUUGUGUGGGAGCUUUCAUGGAGGUUGUAUUUCACUAAUGAAAAUAAAUUUGUGCAUAAUCUG